AGCAUAUCAAUAAGCGGAGGAAAAGAAAGCAACAGCGAUAGCCUCAGUAACGGCGAGUGAAGCGGCUACAGCUCAAAUUUGAAAUCUGGCCUCCUUUGGUGGUCCGAGUUGUAAUUUGCAGAGGAUGCUUUGGCAUUGGCGGCGGUCUAAGUUCCUUGGAACAGGACAUCGCAGAGGGUGAGAAUCCCGUACGUGGGCGCCUGCCUUUGCCGUGUAAAGCUCCUUCGACGAGUCGAGUUGUUUGGGAAUGCAGCUCUAAAUGGGAGGUAAAUUUCUCCUAAAGCUAAAUACCGGCCAGAGACCGAUAGCGCACAAGUAGAGUGAUCGAAAGAUGAAAAGUACUUUGGAAAGAGAGUCAAAUAGCACGUGAAAUUGUUGAAAGGGAAGCGCUUGCAGCCAGACUUGCCCGCAGUUGCUCACCUAGGCUUUUGCCUGGGGCACUCUUCUGCGGGCAGGCCAGCAUCAGUUUGGGCGGUCGGAUAAAGGUCUCUGUCAUGUACCACCCUUCGGGGUGGCCUUAUAGGGGAGACGCAAUGCGACCAGCCCGGACUGAGGUCCGCGCAUCUGCUAGGAUGCUGGCGUAAUGGCUGUAAGCGGCCCGUCUUGAAACACGGACCAAGGAGUCUAACAUCUAUGCGAGUGUUUGGGUGUCAAGCCCGGGCGCGUAAUGAAAGUGAACGGAGGUGGGAACCUUUCGGGGUGCACCAUCGACCGAUCCUGAUGUCUUCGGAUGGAUUUGAGUAAGAGCAUAGCUGUUGGGACCCGAAAGAUGGUGAACUAUGCUUGAAUAGGGUGAAGCCAGAGGAAACUCUGGUGGAGGCUCGCAGCGGUUCUGACGUGCAAAUCGAUCGUCAAAUUUGGGCAUAGGGGCGAAAGACUAAUCGAACCAUCUAGUAGCUGGUUCCUGCCGAAGUUUCCCUCAGGAUAGCAGUAACGUUUUCAGUUUUAUGAGGUAAAGCGAAUGAUUAAAGGCCUGGGGGUUGAAACAACCUUCACCUAUUCUCAAACUUUAAAAUAUGUAAGAAAGCCCUUGGUUACUUGAUUGAAACGGGGACUUUUGAAUGUUCCGU
rnacentral:sRNA from 1 species